AACGCGAAUGACUGUAAAAUGUGGGCACAAUAUUUAAUCUCUCGCCUUUUUAAAGCUUAAUAGUGGAUAAUAGGGGGGCAGUAUCAAGGGAUAAUUUGGGUCCCCACAGUACCAAAGCAUUUAGAAACCUCUGUUUAAUUUAAGGAAUGAGAUAAGUUACUGCUUUUCUAGACUUCCUAGCAUGGGCUGUUGUGCUGGAGAGAACGAGAGCUACGAAGAGACUACAGUGCCUCUGACUUUUUCAUAGGACAGUUGGCCGAGGAAGACAAACAUAAAGAUGAAGUGCUUAAUUCAAGGUCACACAAUGUCGGGGAUGGACCUCCAGAUUUCCUUACUGACCUGCAUUAUCUUGUGGAUACCUGAGUGAAUUCCACACCACCCAUUUUAUAGAUGAAACCACUGAGACAUGGAGCAAUUGACUGAGUAGUCACUGCCCCACCCCUGCCUGGAGCCUCACACAUGACUCGCCUCCUCUCAGUGACCACAGGUGAGACGUGGUCUUGUAACACAGUGGUUAAGAAUGUGACUUUGGAGCCAGCCUGCUAGGGGCUGAAUUCUGACUCAGCCAUUUACUAACUGUGUGACCUUAGGCUGGAGUGCAAUGGCAUGAUCUCGGCUCAUCACAACCUCUGCUUCCUGGGUUCAAGCGAUUCUCCUGCCUCAGCCUCCCGAGUACCUGGGACUACAGGCACUCGCCAC
rnacentral:lncRNA from 1 species